rnacentral:rRNA from 1 species
CCCUGCUUUUGUGGGGUGCUCGAGUGGCGAACGGGUGAGUAACACGUGAGUAACCUGCCCUUGACUUUGGGAUAACUUCAGGAAACUGGGGCUAAUACCGGAUAGGAGCUCCUGCUGCAUGGUGGGGGUUGGAAAGUUUCGGCGGUUGGGGAUGGACUCGCGGCUUAUCAGCUUGUUGGUGGGGUAGUGGCUUACCAAGGCUUUGACGGGUAGCCGGCCUGAGAGGGUGACCGGCCACAUUGGGACUGAGAUACGGCCCAGACUCCUACGGGAGGCAGCAGUGGGGAAUAUUGCACAAUGGGCGGAAGCCUGAUGCAGCAACGCCGCGUGCGGGAUGACGGCCUUCGGGUUGUAAACCGCUUUCGCCUGUGACGAGGCGUGAGUGACGGUAAUGGGUAAAGAAGCACCGGCUAACUACGUGCCAGCAGCCGCGGUGAUACGUAGGGUGCGAGCGUUGUCCGGAUUUAUUGGGCGUAAAGGGCUCGUAGGUGGUUGAUCGCGUCGGAAGUGUAAUCUUGGGGCUUAACCCUGAGCGUGCUUUCGAUACGGGUUGACUUGAGGAAGGUAGGGGAGAAUGGAAUUCCUGGUGGAGCGGUGGAAUGCGCAGAUAUCAGGAGGAACACCAGUGGCGAAGGCGGUUCUCUGGGCCUUUCCUGACGCUGAGGAGCGAAAGCGUGGGGAGCGAACAGGCUUAGAUACCCUGGUAGUCCACGCUGUAAACGGUGGGUACUAGGUGUGGGGUCCAUUCCACGGGUUCCGUGCCGUAGCUAACGCUUUAAGUACCCCGCCUGAGGAGUACGGCCGCAAGGCUAAAACUCAAAGGAAUUGACGGGGCCCCGCACAAGCGGCGGAGCAUGCGGAUUAAUUCGAUGCAACGCGUAGAACCUUACCUGGGUUUGACAUGGAUCGGGAGCGCUCAGAGAUGGGUGUGCCUCUUUUGGGGUCGGUUCACAGGUGGUGCAUGGCUGUCGUCAGCUCGUGUCGUGAGAUGUUGGGUUAAGUCCCGCAACGAGCGCAACCCUUGUUCACUGUUGCCAGCACGUUACGGUGGGGACUCAGUGGAGACCGCCGGGGUCAAC